CUAUGCGCCUUGCCAGCCCGCUCAGGUGUGCCAGCCGCCGCGGUAAUACGGAGGAUGCGAGCGUUAUCCGGAUUUAUUGGGUUUAAAGGGUGCGUAGGUGGUUAAUUAAGUCAGCGGUGAAAGUUUGUGGCUCAACCAUAAAAUUGCCGUUGAAACUGGUUGACUUGAGUAUAUUUGAGGUAGGCGGAAUGCGUGGUGUAGCGGUGAAAUGCAUAGAUAUCACGCAGAACUCCGAUUGCGAAGGCAGCAUACCGGCGCCCUACUGACGCUGAGCACGAAAGCGUGGGUAUCGAACAGG
rnacentral:rRNA from 1 species